CUCAGAUCCCCAUUUUUGCAUUCCUCUCCCACUUGUUCUUUUGCCUACUAUAAGACGUCCCUCUGUUUCUCCUCCACCAAGCAGUCCCAACGCUGUCUUCAGAUCGGCCAUAAGCUUCCCCACUUCUGGAGUGUCGAAUCCUACAGUUUCUGGUAGGUGCAAGUUAAGGCAUAUGGAACACGAGCGGAGAGCUUAUUGUAGGAAGCUGAAGAUUCAAACUUCUUGUAUUAAAAUCAAGAGUCUAUUGUUGUUGUUGUUCCAUGUACUCUCAAACUACUAUUGUUGUAAUAUGUAGCUAGCCACUGUUGUACUAUGUUGUAAUAUGUAGAUAUUGUUGUUGUUCCUUGUUGAACAAUUUCUUGCUGGUAAAGAGUGUUAAAGUUUUGCCCUCAUGUGAAUAACAAUCCCCUUGUUGAACUUAA